UGAUCUUCGGAUCACUUUGGUCAAAUUGAAACGAUACAGAGAAGAUUGUAAGUGAAAACAAAACGACCAAGGUUCGAAUCAUACUAACACUGCUGUAUAGAGCAUGGCCCCUGCACAAGGAUGACACUGCGACAUUGAGAGAAAACCCAUUUUUUU
rnacentral:snRNA from 1 species